rnacentral:rRNA from 1 species
UACGUAGGGUGCAAGCGUUGUCCGGAAUUAUUGGGCGUAAAGAGCUCGUAGGUGGCCUGUCGCGUCGGCUGUGAAAACUCGGGGCUCAACUCCGAGCUUGCAGUCGAUACGGGCAGGCUAGAGUUCGGCAGGGGAGACUGGAAUUCCUGGUGUAGCGGUGAAAUGCGCAGAUAUCAGGAGGAACACCAGUGGCGAAGGCGAGUCCCUGGACAACUUCUGACGCUGAGGCACGAAAGCUAGGGGAGCAAACAGG